rnacentral:rRNA from 1 species
AGAGUUUGAUCCUGGCUCAGGACGAACGCUGGCGGCGUGCUUAACACAUGCAAGUCGAGCGAGAAAGGGUCCUUCGGGACCCCGGUAAAGCGGCGAACGGGUGAGUAACACGUGGGCAACCUGCCCCAAGGACUGGGAUAACUCCGGGAAACCGGAGCUAAUACCGGACGUGCUUGCACUACUCAAGUGGUGCAAGUAAAGGUAGCUUCGGCCUCCGCCUUGGGAUGGGCCCGCGGCCUAUCAGCUUGUUGGUGAGGUAACGGCUCACCAAGGCUACGACGGGUAGCUGGUCUGAGAGGACGAUCAGCCACACUGGGACUGAGACACGGCCCAGACUCCUACGGGAGGCAGCAGUGGGGAAUCUUGCGCAAUGGGCGAAAGCCUGACGCAGCAACGCCGCGUGGAGGAAGAAGGCCUUAGGGUUGUAAACUCCUGUCAGGGGAGAAGAAGGCACCUGGGUUAAUAGCCCAAGGGCUGACGGUACCCCCAGAGGAAGCCACGGCUAACUACGUGCCAGCAGCCGCGGUAAUACGUAGGUGGCGAGCGUUGUCCGGAAUCAUUGGGCGUAAAGCGCGCGUAGGCGGCUUGUCAGGUCUGAUGUGAAAUCUUGGGGCUUAACUCCAAGCGUGCAUCGGAAACCGGCUAGCUAGAGUCUGGGAGAGGAGAGUGGAAUUCCUGGUGUAGCGGUGAAAUGCGUAGAUAUCAGGAGGAACACCAGUAGCGAAGGCGGCUCUCUGGAACAGUACUGACGCUGAGGCGCGAAAGCUAGGGGAGCAAACAGGAUUAGAUACCCUGGUAGUCC